UACCCGCCUCCUCUCUCAUGCGCGGCCGCAGCCACCGCAUGCAGCCUCUCUCUCUUCAUCUGUUCCUCAGAUCCGCGCCGCUCUCCUCAAGCAUGGUGCUCUCUCCAUCCCUCAGAUCCGGCGGGGCAGCGGCCGUAGCAGCACAGCGAGCGGCGGGCGCCGAGUUACAAGCCGGAGUGCGAGCGUGCCGAUGCCUGGGCGUUGGGGCACAAGAGGGCUAGCUCUGCCUUGCGCCGGUCACCACGGCUCACUGCGGCAGCAGGGGAAGAGGCAGCGUCGGGGAGCAGGAGAUGCUCGUCUCUGCAGGCAGGAGAUGCUAGCCACUCAAGAUCUGGUUGUGGAGCAGGUCUCGAGAUCUGACUUGUUGUUACAGCAGCAGUAACUCGAUCUAUUUAGUCUUUUGUUCUCUGUGCCUGUUAGUCUUUUGUUCUCUGUGCCUGUGAUUUGGUUCCGUCAGUGAUUCUGUUUCGUUGGAUCUCCGUGCUUUGAUUUUGGGUCUGUAGCUCCAAGAAAAUUCAUUAUGUGUCCCCGUAGCUACCUGUUUCUACCUUGUCUUAUCCUCAAGUGGCACCAUAGCUUACUGUGAUCUAAUUUCUUCUUGUGUGCCUGCCUCUGCAGCUGGUGUUUUGUGCUUUUAUGCUCAGCUCGGCCUUCUUUCUUGUUCGCUGCCUCAGCUCUCGGUUCUCUGCUGUUUUAUUUGCGAUUCAUUAGUCGGCAAUUCAGAGCAGCAGCGUUGUUUUCCUUUGCUUAUUGAUUUGCUGCUGCUAGAGCCUGGCUGGUCUGUUUUGAUUGCCACAGGCCAACAACAGUACAUGAUCCAAUCUUGCCCUGACCUUUCAAUGGAUUAGUAUUUUGGCUUUUUCUCUGUUCGUUUUUCUCUCUCUGUCCGACAGUAGCAAGCUGUAAGCAGCAGCUGCAGCAAGGUAAACAACUUAUUUUCAGCUCUACUUACUUGUCUUUCUUCUUUUUGGUCGAUGGCAGCAGUAGCAAACAAAUAAAGUGCAGCUCAAUAUUGGUUGUUUAUUUAUACUGAGAAACAAUGAAGGCUAUCAUUGCAAGGCACCAUAGAUCCCCUGACUUGUUAGCUAACUGGUGCUGCUUCUUACUUGAUUAACGCUAUCUGGUGGUAGGUAACUUAUUUCUGUUGCUCGAAAUAGCUGCAGGCUAAUGCCAAAUCUUGGUUAUUCUAUUUCUUAAUCACAGGAUUGUAACUGCUUUGAUUUGUCACAGCAAGUCCAGGAAACAAAACAAACAAGGAUCAAAUAUCAAGAGGAGAAUCGGAAGAAGCAAGAUGAGUUGGAGAAGAAAGUUGAGCUGCUGCUACGUGGUCUGUUAGCUUUUGGGGGAACUAUCUUUGGCAGGAACCAAACUUUGCUGCUACAAAAUUUUGUUGGUUUGUUAGGUUGAACUUCAACCAAACUUUGCUGCUGCUGGUUCAUAUUCUUGAUGAAACCUAUCUUUUGUUGUUUUUGGUUAAUUAUGUUGUCUUGGAAGUUGCUUUGCUUGAUUUUUUAGCAGCUCAGUUCGCUUUCAACUAGCUGUCAGUGCCUGCAACUUCUUCUCUUCUUCUCUUGGAUACACGUAAUUGUUUUGGCGUGGUGCAGAAGCCCAGGAAACAGCCCAGACUCUACUUUUAGGAUGAAAUGGUAGAAGGAACAAACAGUGAGAAGAGAUUGGAAAUUUGAAGGCAAAUGCUGGAAUAUUUGAUGUUUUUGUUUCUAGUGUUGCUUUUGAUGCAAGAUGAAUGUAACUUGCAUGUAAAUUUUGAGGUGCUUCUCAAUGUAAAUCAUACGAUAUUGUAUUUAA